rnacentral:rRNA from 1 species
UACGAAGGGGGCUAGCGUUGCUCGGAAUCACUGGGCGUAAAGGGUGCGUAGGCGGGUCUUUAAGUCAGGGGUGAAAUCCUGGAGCUCAACUCCAGAACUGCCUUUGAUACUGAAGAUCUUGAGUUCGGGAGAGGUGAGUGGAAUUCCGAGUGUAGAGGUGAAAUUCGUAGAUAUUCGGAAGAACACCAGUGGCGAAGGCGGCUCACUGGACCGUUGUUGACGCUGAGGCACGAAAGCGUGGGGAGCAAACAGG